GUUACAUCUCAUUCCGCCUCGAGAACACCUGAUCUCUUCUGAUGUUUGGAAGAUAAGAAGGGUUGGGCCUGGUUAACACUUGGAUGGGAGACCGCUGGGACGUCCGGAUGUUGUAGUA
rnacentral:rRNA from 1 species